GAUGAACGCUAGCGGCAGGCCUAAUACAUGCAAGUCGAACGGUGUCUUCGGACAUAGUGGCGCACGGGUGCGUAACACGUAUGCAACCUACCUUACAUUGGGGGAUAGCCUUUCGAAAGGGAGAUUAAUACCGCAUAAGACAGUAGCUGGGCAUCCAGCAGCUGUUAAAGAUUUAUCGAUGUAAGCUGGGCAUGCGUCCAAUUAGCUAGUUGGUGAGGUAACGGCUCACCAAGGCAAUGAUAGGUAGGGGAACUGAGAGGUCAAUCCCCCACACUGGGACUGGGAUACGGGCCAGACUCCUACGGGAGGCAGCAGUAGGGAAUAUUGGGCAAUGGACGCAAGUCUGACCCAGCCAUGCCGCGUGCAGGAUGAAGGCGUUAUGCGUUGUAAACUGCUUUUAUACAGGAAGAAACGACUCUUGCGAGAGGCAUUGACGGUACUGUAUGAAUAAGCACCGGCUAACUCCGUGCCAGCCGCCGCAGUAAAAC
rnacentral:rRNA from 1 species